rnacentral:sRNA from 1 species
UUUGCUAGAUAUUGACAAAAUCAAGUCCCAGAACCCAGGCAAAUAUAAGGUAAGUCCCUCCCACACUCAGCUAGGGCAGUACAAACAAGCUAGGCUGUAUCAGGAGCCCAGGACUCCAGCUGGAAGGAAUGUUGAGCCUGGGCUGGGUUUGGGGGCUGUGGUCAGACGCACAUCCUGGGCAUAGAUGGUAACUCAGGCACCACAGGUGCGCUGGGCUCUGCUGACCCUCCCUGGCUUCAGAAACAAGGCAAAAAGGAGCUUUCUGCAGAAGGAAACCUUCCUCCCUUCCUUCCAGAAGUGCUGACUGUGGGAUGACUGCCGUUUGGGGCAGGGAGUCUUUUGUGUGUUCUGAGGCUGCUUCCUCCUCUUGGCCCUGCCCUACAGGUCAUGAAGGAGAAGGGCAAGAGGUCCUCCAGAAUCAUCCACCACAUCCAGCUAGAUGUCAGCCACACCCUGCAGAAACACAUGAUGUUCAUACAAAGAUUCGGAGUCAAGCAGCAGGAAUUAUGUGACAUCCUCGUGGCCUAUUCUGCAUAUAACCCUGAGGUGGGCUACCACAGGGACCUGAGCCGCAUCACUGCCAUCCUCCUCCUGUAUCUGCCAGAGGAAGAUGCUUUCUGGGCGCUUACCCAGUUGCUCGCUG